UACGUAGGGGGCAAGCGUUGUCCGGAUUUAUUGGGCGUAAAGAGCGUGUAGGCGGCCAGGUAGGUCUGCUGUGAAAACUCGAGGCUUAACCUCGAGCUGUCGGCGGAAACCAUCUGGCUAGAGUCCGGAAGAGGAGAAUGGAAUUCCCGGUGUAGCGGUGAAAUGCGCAGAUAUCGGGAAGAACACCAGUGGCGAAGGCGAGUCCCUGGACAUCUCCUGACACUGAGGCACGAAAGCUAGGGGAGCAAACAGG
rnacentral:rRNA from 1 species